UACGUAGGAGGCAAGCGUUGUCCGGAUUUACUGGGCGUAAAGGGCGCGCAGGCGGUCGAUUUAGUCGCGUGUGAAAGCCCCCGGCUCAACUGGGGAGGGUCACGCGAUACUGAUCGACUCGAAGGCAGGAGAGGGUAGUGGAAUUCCCGGUGUAGUGGUGAAAUGCGUAGAUAUCGGGAGGAACACCAGUGGCGAAGGCGACUACCUGGCCUGUUCUUGACGCUGAGGCGCGAAAGCUAGGGGAGCAAACGGG
rnacentral:rRNA from 1 species